rnacentral:misc_RNA from 1 species
GAUGAAGAACGCAGCGAAAUGCGAUAAGUAAUGUGAAUUGCAGAAUUCAGUGAAUCAUCGAAUCUUUGAACGCACAUUGCGCCCGCCAGUAUUCUGGCGGGCAUGCCUGUUCGAGCGUCAUUUCAACCAUCAAGCCCCCGGCUUGUGUUGGGGACCUGCGGCUGCCGCAGGCCCUGAAAACCAGUGGCGGGCUCGCUGUCACACCGAGCGUAGUAGCAUACAUCUCGCUCUGGGCGUGCUGCGGGUUCCGGCCGUUAAACCACCUUCAUAACCCAAGGUUGACCUCGGAUCAGGUAGGAAGACCCGCUGAACUUAAGCAUAUCAAUAAGCGGAGGA